rnacentral:lncRNA from 1 species
AAAAGAGAGAGGGAUAAAAAUAGAAAUAAGCAGAGCUGCCUGCUUCCUGGGCAGGUCGAAGUGCCUAGAUACAGAUUAAUGAGCCAUUAUGACAGGAUGCUAAAGGGGCCUGGGCUGAAGAUGCUCUGAUGUGGACUGGACAGGGCAGGGUUAUUUAGCGAUGGAGGGAAGCUGGGGCAGGUGCUCGGAGAAGGCAGGAGGGGAUGAAGAGAACAGUCAGGCGUGUGGGACCUGGUAUCCAGAGAAAUGGGGCCCGGCAAGACGGGGAAAGGAGGAGCAGUGAGUUUGCUGCAUCAGAAGGACCUGGUGAGAGGAAAUCCCAGCAAAACAGCUUGCAAAUCUCCCACUGUGCAGUCAGGACCUCUACCCCUCACUUCCCAUUCAUUAGACAUAAAAUGAUUGCCACAGACUACGUCUCUUCUCCCGGGCCCCUCAAAAGGUGCUGCCUCCCCUUCUUCUCUCUUUAG